ensembl:lncRNA
GAUUGUAACUUUAACAUAACACCUGUAAUGGAGACGAAGGGAGUCAGGAAGCAGGUGCAGGUGGUGAGUUUAACAUUAACAAACAUGGAGCGACACAAAACAAGAAUGGUGUCUGACAUGAAAACAGAACCAAUACAGCCUGGUAUACAAAAGCUACAGAGUACAGAGUACUAGAUAUAGGAAUAGUAAUCAGGGUAGUGAUUAAGUCCAGGUGUGUCUAAUGAUAGGGCGCAGGUGUUCUUUAUGAUGGGCUGCCAGGACCGGCGACGAGGAGCAGGAAUAGACGUGACAGUACACCGAUUAGAGGGAUGCCCCGAGGGCAAGGACGGGCCAGUCAGCAAAGGUAGAAAUCUUAGAUGUUGUAUCUCGAAUGUUGUCCAUCGGUACCCAACACCGCUCCUCUGGACCGUACCCCUCCCAGUCCACCAGGUACUGGAGCCAACCCCCACGAUGUCGGGAGUCCAGGAGGGAUCUGACGACAUAGGCGGGGCUUCCCUCGAUGUCCAGGGGAGGAGGACGGCUGUCGUGGUGGACGGCCUCAGUCAGGGGACCAAGAACCACCGGCCUGAGGAGGGAUCCGAUAGUUAGCGUGGAGCUGUAAUCUAAAUGUCACCUCAUUGACCCUCCAGAAGACCUUGGCAGGCAGAGUGGAAGGUUCCUGGUGGAGAGCCAGACACGAUCACCAAGAUGGAACACCGCCUCACUGCGGUGGCAAUCUGCCUGCUUCUUCUGACGGCGGACGGAACACUGGAGCCUCACUGCGGUGGCAAUCUGCCUGCUUCUUCUGACGGCGGACGGAACACUGGAGCCUCACGUGGGCAUCGUUCCAGAACUCUUCUGCUCGUUUCCAUAUUUUGUGAGCCUCUCCCUCUCCAGCACACAACUAAGAUCUGCAGCUUCUAGUGAACCGUCUAAGAGGAAGACAAUUAACAAAGUCAGAUAUGGCAACUGCUGGAAACAGACGUAGCAAGGAUGUUGACCAUGAUAUGGGACUAAAGUCUUCCUCUGCUCUGAAAAGCCCAACUCCAAGCACGGAAACGAGUACUCAGUCAGACAUUCAUGAUACGGAUUCAAGUGAUGACAGUAUGGAUUCACCACCUUUUAUUGAGUAAGAUUGUAUGGAAUAUAAAAUAGUUUCAAGAACCCUUAAACCCACAACAAUACAAUUUUAUAUUUUCACAAUUCUGUGGACAUCUCUUUAAAAUAUUAUUGGACUAUGCUUAAACUGAAUUAAAAGAACACUAAAAUAAAAUAAUGGGAAAUGAUUAGGUGUGAUCCAGUAUUAUGUGCAUGCAAUACUAAAACCUUUACAAUGGCAGGGCCAAUGGCCAGGUUUAAUUUAUGAUUAACACAUUGUUCAACUCAUCUUUACCUAAAAUCCACAUUAAAGUCACAACGAUUAGACACAGAUGAAGUGUAGGCCUAUGCUUACGCCAAUAAUGAAUUUCACUUUUAAUCAAAAUAUAUAAUAGUUUUGUUUUAGUGGAAAUUAUAAGAAAUAUUCCUUUAUAAUGCUUCAGCCUCAUAAAAAAUAUUAAAAUAUAGGUGUGAUCCAGUUUUAAAGCUUGUUUUGACAGAGCAGGGAUUAACACUAUCUACUGUAAUCUUUACAGUGGUGUAAUUUAUUAAGUUAAGUUGUGGUUAAUUAGAUUGGACACAUUAGUUCAAGAAAUCUGACUAUUACUGUGGUGGGUUUUCUUUGUGGAUACAUAUCAGUGUAACACUGGGCUACCAUCGCAUAUGUCUGGUACAUUUAAUCAGGUUUGACAGAUAAGUUACUCUUUUAUAUUGUUUCUUGAUCUGGGUCAGUGUGUUCUUCCUGUGGAUGACUGUCUGACUAUGGCUGGGAUUUAAUACAAGGUUUUAGAGAAGCGCACUGCCCUUGACGUACGUCAUUUGUGCUAACGCCAACAGUCACAGUGAAUGAAUGUACAGUGCCUUGCGAAAGUAUUCGGCCCCCUUGAACUUUGCGACCUUUUGCCACAUUUCAGGCUUCAAACAUAAAGAUAUAAAACUGUAUUUUUUUGUGAAGAAUCAACAACAAGUGGGACACAAUCAUGAAGUGGAUCAACAUUUAUUGGAUAUUUCAAACUUUUUUAACAAAUCAAAAACUGAAAAAUUGGGCGUGCAAAAUUAUUCAGCCCCCUUAAGUUAAUACUUUGUAGCGCCACCUUUUGCUGCGAUUACAGCUGUAAGUCACUUGGGGUAUGUCUCUAUCAGUUUUGCACAUCGAGAGACUGAAAUUUUUUCCCCAUUCCUCCUUGCAAAACAGCUCGAGCUCAGUGAGGUUGGAUGGAGAGCAUUUGUGAACAGCAGUUUUCAGUUCUUUCCACAGAUUCUCGAUUGGAUUCAGGUCUGGACUUUGACUUGGCCAUUCUAAC